rnacentral:rRNA from 1 species
GACGAACGCUGGCGGCGUGCCUAACACAUGCAAGUCGAACGGAACUUCUUUAAAGGAUUUCUUCGGAAUGAAUUUGAUUAAGUUUAGUGGCGGACGGGUGAGUAACGCGUGAGUAACCUGCCUCUGAGAGGGGAAUAACAUUCUGAAAAGAAUGCUAAUACCGCAUAACAUAUAUUUAUCGCAUGGUAGAUAUAUCAAAGAUUUAUCGCUUAGAGAUGGACUCGCGUCCGAUUAGUUAGUUGGUGAGGUAACGGCUCACCAAGACUGCGAUCGGUAGCCGGACUGAGAGGUUGAACGGCCACAUUGGACUGAGACACGGCCCAGACUCCUACGGGAGGCAGCAGUGGGGAUAUUGCGCAAUGGGGGAAACCCUGACGCAGCAACGCCGCGUGAAGGAUGAAGGUCUUCGGAUU